AGUGAACGCUGGCGGUAGGCCUAACACAUGCAAGUCGAACGGCAGCACAGUAAGAGCUUGCUCUUACGGGUGGCGAGUGGCGGACGGGUGAGGAAUACAUCGGAAUCUACUUUUUCGUGGGGGAUAACGUAGGGAAACUUACGCUAAUACCGCAUACGACCUACGGGUGAAAGCAGGGGAUCUUCGGACCUUGCGCGAUUGAAUGAGCCGAUGUCGGAUUAGCUAGUUGGCUGGGUAAAGGCCCACCAAGGCGACGAUGCGUAGCUGGUCUGAGAGGAUGAUCAGCCACACUGGAACUGAGACACGGUCCAGACUCCUACGGGAGGCAGCAGUGGGGAAUAUUGGACAAUGGGCGCAAGCCUGAUCCAGCCAUACCGCGUGGGUGAAGAAGGCCUUCGGGUUGUAAAGCCCUUUUGUUGGGAAAGAAAAGCAGCAGGUUAAUACCCCGCUGUUCUGACGGUACCCAAAGAAUAAGCACCGGCUAACUUCGUG
rnacentral:rRNA from 1 species